rnacentral:rRNA from 1 species
GACGUGCUAAUCUGCGAUAAGCGCCGGUAAGGUGAUAUGAACCGUUAUAACCGGCGAUUUCCGAAUGGGGAAACCCAGUGUGACUCGUCACACUAUCAUUAACUGAAUCCAUAGGUUAAUGAGGCGAACCGGGGGAACUGAAACAUCUAAGUACCCCGAGGAAAAGAAAUCAACCGAGAUUCCCCCAGUAGCGGCGAGCGAACGGGGAGGAGCCCAGAGCCUGAAUCAGCAUGUGUGUUAGUGGAAGCGUCUGGAAAGGCGCGCGAUACAGGGUGACAGCCCCGUACACAAAAGCGCAUGUGCUGUGAGCUCGAUGAGUAGGGCGGGACACGUGGUAUCCUGUCUGAAUAUGGGGGGACCAUCCUCCAAGGCUAAAUACUCCUGACUGACCGAUAGUGAACCAGUACCGUGAGGGAAAGGCGAAAAGAACCCCGGCGAGGGGAGUGAAAAAGAACCUGAAACCGUGUACGUACAAGCAGUGGGAGCCCCACCACUAAGCCAGUGGUGAACUCCACAUACGCAUCCUUUGCUGAGGAUACGGUUAACGGAGUGAAAGCGACGUUCAACCGCAAAAGAAGCAGAGGGGGCUUAGUGGUGGGGUGACUGCGUACCUUUUGUAUAAUGGGUCAGCGACUUAUAUUCUGUAGCAAGGUUAACCGAAUAGGGGAGCCGGAGGGAAACCGAGUCUUAAUUGGGCGUUAAGUUGCAGGGUAUAGACCCGAAACCCGGUGAUCUAGCCAUGGGCAGGUUGAAGGUUGGGUAACACUAACUGGAGGACCGAACCGACUAAUGUUGAAAAAUUAGCGGAUGACCUGUGGCUGGGGGUGAAAGGCCAAUCAAACCGGGAGAUAGCUGGUUCUCCCCGAAAGCUAUUUAGGUAGCGCCUCGUGAAUUCAUCUCCGGGGGUAGAGCACUGUUUCGGCUAGGGGGCCAUCCCGGCUUACCAACCCGAUGCAAACUGCGAAUACCGGAGAAUGUUAUCACGGGAGACACACGGCGGGUGCUAACGUCCGUCGUGAAGAGGGAAACAACCCAGACCGCCAGCUAAGGUCCCAAAGUCAUGGUUAAGUGGGAAACGAUGUGGGAAGGCCCAGACAGCCAGGAUGUUGGCUUAGAAGCAGCCAUCAUUUAAAGAAAGCGUAAUAGCUCACUGGUCGAGUCGGCCUGCGCGGAAGAUGUAACGGGGCUAAACCAUGCACCGAAGCUGCGGCAGCGACGCUUAUGCGUUGUUGGGUAGGGGAGCGUUCUGUAAGCCUGUGAAGGUGGCCUGUGAGGGUUGCUGGAGGUAUCAGAAGUGCGAAUGCUGACAUAAGUAACGAUAAAGCGGGUGAAAAGCCCGCUCGCCGGAAGACCAAGGGUUCCUGUCCAACGUUAAUCGGGGCAGGGUGAGUCGACCCCUAAGGCGAGGCCGAAAGGCGUAGUCGAUGGGAAACGGGUUAAUAUUCCCGUACUUGGUGUUACUGCGAAGGGGGGACGGAGAAGGCUAUGUUGGCCGGGCGACGGUUGUCCCGGUUUAAGCGUGUAGGUGUGUGUUCCAGGUAAAUCCGGUUCACUUUAACACUGAGGCGUGACGACGAGGCACUACGGUGCUGAAGCAACAAAUGCCCUGCUUCCAGGAAAAGCCUCUAAGCAUCAGGUAACACGAAAUCGUACCCCAAACCGACACAGGUGGUCAGGUAGAGAAUACCAAGGCGCUUGAGAGAACUCGGGUGAAGGAACUAGGCAAAAUGGUGCCGUAACU